rnacentral:rRNA from 1 species
CGAGAGGCAUAGUGAAAGCGAGCCUGAAUAGGGCGUUUGAUAAUAAUUAGUAGACCCGAAACCGAGUGACCUAACCAUGGGCAGGUUGAAGCGGCAGUAAAAUGUCGUGGAGGACCGAACCAGGGUCUACUGCAACAGGCUUGGAUGACCUGUGGUUAGCGGUGAAAUGCCAAUCGAACUCGGAGAUAGCUGGUUCUCCUCGAAAUAGCUUUAGGGCUAGCGUCGUACGGUAGCAUCUAGGGGUAGAGCUCUAAUUCGGACUGGGGCCGGCAACGGUACCCACCCUUGUUAAACUACGAAUACUAGAUGUGGAACUACGGCAGUUAGAACGGCGGUGCUAAGGUCGUCGCUCGAAAGGGAAACAGCCCAGACCACCAGCUAAGGUCCCUAAAUAUACACUAAGUGGGAAACGAGGUGGAAUUUCUUAAACAAUGAGGAUGUUGGCUUAGAAGCAGCCAUUCAUUUAAAGAGUGCGUAACAGCUCACUCAUCAAGAGAUUCUGCGCGGAAAAUGUAACGGGGCUCAAGUGUAUUACCGAAGCUGUGGAUGCGAAUACGGAACUAAUCAUAUAGUUCUAGUACGUUUCCGUGCACGUUAAGUGCAAAAUAAAUCGAAAUAUUAAGCUAAAUAUUUCGUCUACUAUCUCAAUAAUUGUAUUGAGGGUAGCGAUACGUAUCAGACAAAACUGUAUGUUUUGUUUCGUAUUCGCGUGGUAGAGGAGCGUUGAUAUCAGCGUUGAAGUCGAACUGUGAGGUUCGGUGGAGCGUUAUCAAGUGAGAAUGCUGGAAUGAGUAACCAUAAGGCAGGUGAGAAUCCUGCCCAUCGAAAGAGCAAGGUUUCCUGGGCCACGGUAAUCGUCCCAGGGUUAGUCGGUCCUAAGCCGAGGCGAGUAGCGUAGGCGAUGGAUAUCAGGUUAAUAUUCCUGAACCGGCACUAUUCUUGUGUGCAGUGCGGAGUAUGAUAGUAAGAGCGGAUUCAUGGUUAUAUCCGUCUAAAUAGUCUAACGGGCUAUGAAUGAAAGUUAUUUAACUAUAACGAUUCUUAUCAAAGUGCUUCCCAGAAAAGCUGUCACACCUAGUGUUUAGUGUCGUCCGUACCGUAAACCAACACAGGUGCUCAGGUCGAGUAGACCAAGAUGUACGAGUGAUUCUUCGUUAAGGAACUCGGCAAAACAGCGACCGUAACUUCGGGAUAAGGUUUGCCUCGCCGCAGUGUCUAUAAACUAACGAAACAGAUUUGAAUUGAACUUUUUGUUGUAAAAAUACUUACAAUUAAAUGAGUAAAAUAAUUGAACAACUUUGUUUGUCGAUACUGCGGCGAGGCCGCAGCUAAAGAACCCAAGCAACUGUUUACCAAAAACACAGGUCUCUGCUAACACGAAAGUGGAUGUAUAGGGGCUGACGCCUGCCCGGUGCUGGAAGGUUAAGGGGAAGACUUUUACGGUCUGAACUUAAGCCCCAGUGAACGGCGGCACUAACUAUGAGUGUCCUAAGGUAGCGAAAUUCCUUGUCAGGUAAGUUCUGACCCGCACGAAUGGCGUAAUGAUUUGGGUACUGUCUCAACGAAGAGCUCGGUGAAAGUGCAUUACCGGUAAAGAUGCCGGUUGUCCGCAGCAGGACGAAAAGACCCUAUGGAGCUUUACUACAGCUUGACAUUGAAUCGAGCGAUUAGAUGUGCAGUAUAGGUGGGAGAUUUUGAAACUUGGACGCCAGUCGAAGUGGAAUCGCAAUAUGAAAUACCACCCUUGUAAUCGUUUUAUUCUUACUAUUACCGUUAUCCGGUAAUGGGACAGUGUUUGGUGGGUAGUUUAACUGGGGCGGUUGCCUCCUAAAGAGUAACGGAGGCGUUCAAAGGUCAACUAAACACGGAUGGAAAUCGUGUUAGUAGUGCAUACGCAUAAGUUGGCUUGACUGUGAGGGAUACAGCCCGAUCAGGGACGAAAGUCGGAGUAAGUGACCCGCUGUAACUGCAUUUAUGCAAAUGUAUGUGGGAACGACAGCGCAAACGGAUAAAAGUUACCCUAGGGAUAACAGGCUUAUCGCCCCCAAUAGUUCACAUAGACGGGGCGGUUUGGCACCUCGAUGUCGGCUCAUCACAUCCUGGAGGGGGAGCACCUUCCAAGGGUUCGGCUGUUCGCCGAUUAAAGUGGUACGUGAGCUGGGUUCAGAACGUCGUGAGACAGUUCGGUUUAUAUCCGCUGUGGACGUCAGGAAAGUUGAGGAGAUUUGCCCCUAGUACGAGAG